rnacentral:ribozyme from 1 species
UGCCCAGCAAUUUCUAUCCCUACCUCCUCGUGGUACUGACCGGGGUACGAGUAACCUUAGGGAAAAUCGGGUAAUCAACCCUGGUAGGAACUUUGGUCGUAUGCUGACAAUGAAGG